AGUGAACGCUGGCGGUAGGCCUAACACAUGCAAGUCGAACGGCAGCACAGAGGAGCUUGCUCCUUGGGUGGCGAGUGGCGGACGGGUGAGGAAUACAUCGGAAUCUACUCUGUCGUGGGGGAUAACGUAGGGAAACUUACGCUAAUACCGCAUACGACCUACGGGUGAAAGCAGGGGAUCUUCGGACCCUGCUCGAUUGAAGGAGCCGAUGUCGGAUUAGCUAGUUGGCGGGGUAAAGGCCCACCAAGGCGACGAUCCGUAGCUGGUCUGAGAGGAUGAUCAGCCACACUGGAACUGAGACACGGUCCAGACUCCUACGGGAGGCAGCAGUGGGGAAUAUUGGACAAUGGGCGCAAGCCUGAUCCAGCCAUACCGCGUGGGUGAAGAAGGCCUUCGGGUUGUAAAGCCCUUUUGUUGGGAAAGAAAUCCAUCUGGUUAAUACCCGGGUGGGAUGACGGUACCCAAAGAAUAAGCACCGGCUAACUUCGUGCCAGCCGCCGCGGUAA
rnacentral:rRNA from 1 species